CAAUUUAUUGGCUACACAUUUGCUGUGCGGGGCCGGGUGGGGCGGUGUUCUGAGAAGAUCCAUCAGGAGUGUACCUAUGGAGGGUGUAUGGGUGUGCACAGGCGAUUAUCCAGGGUUGUAAGUGUGUGGGGCUGUGCUGGAGGGAUGUGUAUGUCUACAGGUGUGAGUUGGCCCAAGUGCGAAUCUGUGUGUGUUUGUGACUGUGUGUGUGUG